CGCCACCUCCAUUUUUCCCCAUUCUCUGCCGUUUCAAAUCUCAGGCCUCCGCCUAUUCAACUUCGAUUCGCCCAGAGGAGAAGAAGGCUUCAUCGGCGCACCCACGAAGGUAAACACCUUCUCCUUUCCUCUCUUUAUUUUCUCUUUUGGCAAAUAAGAAAUAUAACAGACUAAUCUUGAAGAAAACAGAAAAGAAAGAAGAAAUCGAGGAAAAAUAAAUUUCAGAUCACCUUUAAAAACUGUUUUUUUUAUUGCUUUUCUUUCAAAGAUUUGAUACAAUAUUCGUGUCUGUAACCCCCCACACAGAUUUCAAUCGGCCCUCUUUAUAGCCAAACCAAGAAAAAAAAGAAAAAAAAUCAAAUUUUCUCUAUUUGUUUACAUUUUCCUUCCUAUUUACUGCUAGUAUUUGCUGUCAAAUUGUUUCCCCUUUCUUUGCUGUUGCUAUCUGUUUUGCUGCUUGUUUGUUUGUCCUUCUUGCAGGUACAGCGUACGGAGGGUGGACGUGGCAUGUGGAGGCGUCGCGUGCGUGCGAGGGAGAGCAGAGAGGUGUUACUGCUGCGGCGCUGGGAGCCGAAUGUUGCUAGGGUUUCAGUCUCAGUUAGGCUAGGUGUUGGGCCUCUGUAAUCGAGCUAGGGUUUAGAUUAGUGGGCUAAGUGUUGUAACUGGAUUAAGCUAUUUUGGGCUAUAAAUUUUUUAUUUUUUUAUUUUUUGACUUUGUAAUAUGGACUUUGAAUUCUCAAUUUUAGGGCCCGGGCUAAAAUGGGUCAUUACAAUUUGGAUCUAGGUUGAAGCUUACUUUUAGUAUUGGCUCAAAUCCAAUGUAACACGAGCAGCCAAGUCUUUUUUUUAUAUAUAUAUAUUUAUAUGU
rnacentral:lncRNA from 1 species